rnacentral:lncRNA from 1 species
CUUUCUUUCUUUUUUUUCUCCUUUUGCUAGUGAAGGAGAAUUGGAUUGGUUAUUUUCAGAACAGGCAGCCUAAAUUGAUGCACAAAUCAGUAGCAUCCUUUUUGGAGUGGCCAUCACAUGAAUUCUUUGGAGAUCUCUGAAGAAAACAGAAAGAAACUGAAAUGGCAUGAAUGAAUUAAUCGUGCCAGAUUCUCCAACACUUCCUCAGGAGACCCUAUUGCUCUGAUCAAGAAGUUCCAUCAGCACCGAAGAAAACAGCAGG